rnacentral:rRNA from 1 species
UACAGAGGUCCCAAGCGUUGUUCGGAUUUACUGGGCGUAAAGGGUGCGUAGGCGGUCGGGUAAGUCUGAUGUGAAAUCUCCAAGCCUAACUUGGAAACUGCAUUGGAUACUAUCCGGCUCGAGGAAUGGAGGGGAGACUGGAAUACUUGGUGUAGCGGUGAAAUGCGUAGAUAUCAAGUGGAACACCAGUGGCGAAGGCGAGUCUCUGGACAUUUCCUGACGCUGAGGCACGAAAGCCAGGGGAGCAAACGGG